AUCGGGCACCACUAUCAGAUGAAGCUGCCAGCAUGAUCUUAACUUUCCUCCUUUGCUCGAGGAAUGAUACAGAUCAUGCGGCAGUUUCACCUGUUCGUUGGUUGCACGAAAUUACGAGUCCAG
rnacentral:pre_miRNA from 1 species